rnacentral:tRNA from 1 species
AGCCCUAUUGCCAAAUGGUAAGGCACAGGAUUUUGAUUCCUGUAUUUAUCGGUUCGAAUCCGAUUAGGGCUG